rnacentral:rRNA from 1 species
CUCCUACGGGAGGCAGCAGUGGGGAAUAUUGGACAAUGGGCGAAAGCCUGAUCCAGCAAUGCCGCGUGAGUGAUGAAGGCCUUAGGGUUGUAAAGCUCUUUUACCCGGGAUGAUAAUGACAGUACCGGGAGAAUAAGCUCCGGCUAACUCCGUGCCAGCAGCCGCGGUAA